GAUGAACGCUGGCGGCGUGCUUAACACAUGCAAGUCGAACGGAAAGGCUCCUGCUUGCAGGGGUACUCGAGUGGCGAACGGGUGAGUAACACGUGGGUGAUCUGCCCUGCACUUCGGGAUAAGCCUGGGAAACUGGGUCUAAUACCGGAUAGGACCACAUUUUGGAUGGUGUGGUGGAAAGUUUUUCGGUGUGGGAUGAGCUCGCGGCCUAUCAGCUUGUUGGUGGGGUAAUGGCCUACCAAGGCGUCGGCGGGUAGCCGGCCUGAGAGGGUGGACGGCCACAUUGGGACUGAGAUACGGCCCAGACUCCUACGGGAGGCAGCAGUGGGGAAUAUUGCACAAUGGGCGGAAGCCUGAUGCAGCGACGCCGCGUGGGGGAUGACGGCCUUCGGGUUGUAAACUCCUUUCGCUAGGGACGAAGCGCAAGUGACGGUACCUGGAGAAGAAGCACCGGCUAACUACGUG
rnacentral:rRNA from 1 species